rnacentral:lncRNA from 13 species
CGGCGCGCGCGACACGGAAGCCCAACCGAUGUAACGCGGCUACCGAUUGGUCGAACGCGAGGUGCACCGUCGUCCGCUCCACCACCCCCACCACCAACACCACCGCUGCUAUCACCACCACUGUCGCCGGGUACCUACCGGUCGCGCUUGAUCGAGGGUUGUUCUCAAGAAAAUUUACCUUUCCUCCACGCGAGAUUUACCCGCAGGCGACGAGAAAUCGCAAAAAAAAUAGGGCUACUUCCCCGUUGCGCUUCCUUUCGUCUCAAACAACGUCUCGGCCGCGGCACGAAUUUCGAACCGCCGCGCUGCCCGAGUUCGAGUUUCUCUUCGACAUGCGCGACCACCACACGAGCGGAAUGGCGUACAAAAUUCUUUUUCAAAAUUUAAACUGCCCGUACGCUCGCGACGGCGACCCCUCUCAUCGCGGUGGUUAUCGCCGAGCGAUGGCGCAAAUGAGCGCGCCUCAGAUAUUUCCUUUAUACGCGUGUAAUAGAAUGCGUGAUCAAAGUACCUUUUGUAAAUGAGCGACGAUCAAAUAUCUUGAUCUCAAUCUAAUUGGCUGAUCUAAUAUAUGUCGAAUAAUUUUCAUUACUUGGAGGACUUUAUGAGGAUUUGAACAAAUAUAUAUGUCGACUGCAUAGACUAUAGAUCAUUUAGAAAUCAAUUGGACAUGAAAUACUUGUAUUUUCAAGGAUCAAACUACCUUUUGCAAAUGAGCGACGAUCAAAUACCUUGAUCUCAAUCUAAUCGGCUGAUCUAAUAUAUGCCGAAGAAUUUUCAUUACUUGGAUGACUUUACGAGGAUUUGAAAAAAUUUAUAUGUCGAUUGCAUAGACUAUAGACCAUUACGACGAAUCACAUCGAGUCACACGUCUUGUCAUAGGACGAAAGAUUAAAGAGAAAAAGACAUCUUCGGAAUAUUUUCGAAUAUUUUACUUAAGAAUGACAAAGAGAUGGAUAAAACACAAACACGUAUGUCUGUUUCGACGUUUAAAUCGCUCAUCACUCGUGGCUCGCUUAAUAGGAUUCCAUCAACUGCCAUGUUCCAUCAAUUCUCAAUUCUUAAAUGAUCGUCGACGCGGCGCAAGAGAGUCACGCGAAGAUCAUCGCGAAGUAGCAAUUAUCGGGCCUCGUGUAUCGCGGGCGAUAUCUACGCUGUGCGAUACUGCAGCAGCUGUUCGGGGCCCGGCCGGACAUCUGCCGUCGACUAUUUCAUCUCUUUGGGCCCGCCUUGUCCCGUCAGAGACCGAAGGCCGAAGAUUUUAAAUGACGAGCUACGCCGACAAUCUUGUCACCGAGUUCGAUUUAUAUUAGCUGUUAAAUGACACAGUUUUCUACGGUAUGUAUAUGUCUCGUUGCGGUACCUAUAACAACAAGCGAGCGGCUUCUUGCGGGAGUACCUCAUCUUCAUUUGCGGAACAAAGAAACGUGUUAGAAGUUUUAUGGCGAAGGAAUUUUCGCUGAGCAGCUGCAACCUGUGGCUGGCUAAUGUGGAAAGAGGCGUACAUCAGGGACGGCUUUUGCGGUAGCAGCACCCUUACGCUGAUAUCUCUUUAAAGAAGUCCUUUGUCAUCCUAUUUCUCCAGCUUUUAUUUGACAGAUGUGUGAACUACUUAUUUGGAUAUAAUUAUUUUUAUUAGUUUGUUAAGUAUAAUUUUUUGACGAUUUUUUAAGACUCUCCUUAUAUUUUUACAGCUUUAAAACAUACUGUGUUUAUUUGUGUUUCUAUCUUUACCUUUCUAGCUAGGAAUAAUGAUUUAUAGUUAUUUAAAUAGAUUUUAAAUUUGUUUAAGACCGCAAGGAAUUCUUUUUAUACUAAUGUC